GUCAACAUAUCUACAAAUUUUAGAAUUUUCUCCAUGUAAUAGUACCCCCUCAAGUCCACCUUUUGGCGGACUUAUGAGGACUCUAAUGCACAAUCUGAGGUGUUAAUGGGUUUAAAAAAGUAAUUAACUUUGGCUAUUCUUAAAUCAUUCAGCCCUCAAUUAUGAGGUGUACAAAAUACAGUAAAUUCCAAAUUACUGCUCAUUUGACUAAAAACUAAAAAUUAAUCGACCAGUACAUGAACACUUAUAACAGUCAUAUCUUUGAAUAAUUAUGCUUUGACAAAUAUGCAUAAUAGACUAAAACUACGGGCCGGCAACGCGGACAGGGUCAGCUAGUUGUUAUAUAUAUAUACAUAAUUUUUUUCAUGUUUCUGCCACAAUUUUCGACUGAAUGCGUUUGACAUUUUGAAAUUUAUGUCAUAUAGAUGUACAUCCCAAAUCUACGUUCCCAACCAAUAUUCUCUUCGGGGUUACAAAUUCAAUACAAUACAAAACUUUCUUUUCUGACAACAAAUUGUUUGGGAAAGUGGACUUGGAGGUACACUAAUGUAGGAACUAUACUCGAAUUAAUGCCUAUACGGACAAUUAUCUGUAAUAAUGAUUCUCUACCCCAAAGUAGCCGAAAUUUUUUAGACAAAUCAAAUCAAUUGAUGAAUAUGGUCAAGACCAAGAUGGACCCUACUCCGAAAAUUGAAAAUUUCAUGAGAAGAAGUUUUCUACCCCCUUAGAAACAAAGAUGCCAAAUAAAGACCUAACAAUGGAAAAAAUGUCCAAAACUCCUGCCAUCGUUUUCCAUUAUAAAUUGACAUUAAUUUGCCUAGCCAUAACUUCAAGCUUUUCAUGUACUUGCACCUUAACUUUUGUACGUAUAUACGUUGUAAUACGCAUUUUGGUUACAACCGAAUUUGAGUAUUUUCGCAACAACAUUCAUAUGUAUGGUAGAUUAAUACAGGUAACAACAAGAGUUUUUGUAUAACAAACGUAGCGACAACCACAUACACAUUUGUUUUUUGUACGCAAUGUAGUUGUCGGAGAUAUAUGCUCAAAAUGACAACAAAACAAUUAAUUUUCAAUAAAAUAUACAUUUUUGGAAUUUGGGUAAUUUGGAUGCUUUAAAUCAUUUCAUUUAAAUAAUAAAAUAUCAAAACGAAUUUGACACUAGUAUUACUAUAGAGUCAAUAAAUGACGUGGCCAGUUCUUAUCACAUAGAUAAUUCUUUGUUCAUUUUUUAUAAUUGGGUGGAUCCCCUCCAUAACAAGGAAAAGCUUUUGUACACCGUAUUGCCAGACGUUAGCACAAACCGAAAUAUCUGCUUUCCUAUUGUUGGUGACUAAACUUUUUGUUGGUUACUUUGUUGUUUUUAUUUUAUGUAAACAAAACGGUAUACAUAUGUAUUUUGUCGCCUAUAUAAUCGCCAUACGGUAAAUUGUAGCUUUACACCAACAAUGUUUGAACUCACUUCCAACAUUAUAAUCUACUUCUCCGAGAUUACCAUAACGAUCAUAAUUACAAUACCGAUCACGAUAACAAUAUAUAUUAUGUGACAAAAAAAGUAUUUUCCAUAAAUAUAUUUCAUUGCGUUUAUUUGGUUGUUAAGGAUAUGUCAACGGGUGGAACAUGUUCAAUUUGUGCCGAUAUAUUAGGUUCCGAUGACAUAUGCAGCACUAUAUGUGGCCUCAUAUAUCACUUCGAGUGCCUGUAAAAUUGGCUCCAGAGGUUCAACAGGUGCCCUUUGUGCAAACGGGAUAACCCGCAACCACAUCGCAUUUAUUUGGACAUCGAAGCUUUGGGAGGACUGACUUCAAGUAAUGAAAUAUAUGAAGUUAUAAUUAAGAAUGUUCAGCCAAAUUAAACAGAUCCGAUGUCAACCAUGAUAUUAAUUGUUGUUAUGCAAAUUCCUACAACUGAAGCGACAUAUGCACUUCACGUGUCGUUUAAGAAGGCUCUGAAUAAGGAUAUAUUUUUGAGGAACAAAUAUAAAUUAAAAAGGUGUCAACAUACUUCAAACAUGCGUUUAUAUGAAUCACUGAAUAGAAAACAAAAUAAACUCUUCACUUAUAGCCACAA